rnacentral:lncRNA from 1 species
UGGGGGAAAUUUCUCUUCAAAGGUUGAGUGGUGCCAAUCACAUUAAUUGUGAAGCCCAAUAAUGAUCCUUUGGAGAGGUCACACGUAAUCCUAAAUGACGUAAAAUGAGUGGAAUGCAUGCCAUGUGAAAGUGUGAGUUUGUGUGAAGUGAGAAAAAUGAUAAAAAUAAUAGGAUGUAAGUGGAGGUGUGCAAAUGAAGAUAAAAAGUGUUCGUGUGCAAGUGAAGGGAUAUAAGGUGCACGU